rfam:Parastrongyloides trichosuri strain KNP genome assembly, scaffold: PTRK_scaffold0000002
AUUGGAUUUGGAGAUAUGGUUCCUAAAACAUACUUAGGAAUGAUAGUUGGUAGUGUUUGUGCAUUAAUGGGAGUAUUAACAAUUGCUUUGCCUGUUCCUGUUAUAGUGUCAAAC